rnacentral:rRNA from 1 species
CACGUAGUUAGCCGGGGCUUCUUAGUCAGGUACCGUCAUUAUCUUUCCUGCUGAUAGAGCUUUACAUAUCGAGAUACUUCUUCACUCACGCGGCGUCGCUGCAUCAGGGUUUCCCCCAUUGUGCAAUAUUCCCCACUGCUGCCUCCCGUAGGAGUCUGGGCCGUGUCUCAGUCCCAAUGUGGCCGUUCACCCUCUCAGGCCGGCUACUGAUCGUCGCUUUGGUGGGCCGUUACCCCGCCAACUGGCUAAUCAGACGCGGAUCCAUCGUAUACCACCGGAGUUUUUCACACCGCCCCAUGCGGAGCUGUGCGCUCAUGCGGUAUUAGCACCUAUUUCUAAGUGUUAUCCCCCGGUAUACGGCAGGUUAUCCACGUGUUACUCACCCGUCCGCCACUAACUCAUAAAUCACUAGGUUUCAGUAUGAGUCCGUUCGACUUGCAUGUGUUAGGCACGCCGCCAGCGUUCAUCCUGAGCCAGGAUCAAACUCU